rnacentral:rRNA from 1 species
CCUACGGGAGGCAGCAGUGAGGAAUAUUGCACAAUGGGGGAAACCCUGAUGCAGCGACGCCGCGUGAGUGAAGAAGUAUCUCGGUACGUAAAGCUCUAUCAGCAGGGAAGCAAAUGACGGUACCUGACUAAGAAGCCCCGGCUAACUACGUGCCAGACGCCGCGGUAAUACGUAGGCGGCAAGCGUUAUCCGGAUUUACUGGGUGUAAAGGGAGCGUAGACGGCAGCACAAGUCUGGAGUGAAACCCCGGGGCUUAACCCCGGACCUGCUUUGGAAACCGUGCGGCUGGAGUGCAGGAGGGGUAGGCGGAAUGCCUAGUGUAGCGGUGAAAUGCGUAGAUAUUAGGAGGAACACCGGUGGCGAAGGCGGCUUACUGGACUGUAACUGACGUUGAGGCUCGAAAGCGUGGGGAGCAAACAGGAUUAGAUACCCGAGUAGUC